CGACCUCAGUUCAGGAGAG
rnacentral:rRNA from 1 species